rnacentral:rRNA from 1 species
AAACACGGAUUAGGGAGUUUUACUUAAAUACGAGUCUUUAACUUUUAAAGUAAUUUUUUUAAAAAAGGCGAAAAGAAAUUAACUGGUUUUUUUAACAUGGCUAUAGAGUAUUUAAGUCAAAACCCGAAUGGAGGUGAACUAUUCCUGCAAAGAUUGAAGUCAGGGGAAACUCUGAUGGAAGAUCGUUGGCGUUAUUGAUGUGCAAAUCAUUUGCUUUAUGUAGGUAUAGGUGCGAAAGACUCAUCGAACCUCCUAAUAGCUGGUUUCCUCCGAAGUUUCCCUCAGGAUAGCUGUAACAUUUUUAAAUAGUUAAGGAUAGUAGAGAAAUGGGUAGAGGUGUAGUGGAACUACGGUUCUGCAACUUAUUUCCAAACUUCGAACGUUCUUGAUAUAAAAAAUUACCUAAUAGGAAUUUUUUAUUUAAAUAUAUGUUAUAAGUGGGCUCUGACCGGUAAGCGGUCAUGGCGAAAAGGGAUGAACCUAACGUAUAAAUAAGGUGCCUAAAUUUACUAACAAUGAAACCAUUAAAAGAGUCCAUGUAUUUAGACAGCGGGUCGGUGCCCCUAAAAGCAGGUAUCCGUUAAUGAGUGUGUUAAAACUCCCCCGCCGAAUACUCUGGCCUUGAAAAUGAAUGGCGCAUAUAGUAAUACCGAUAUUAUACAUUAAAAUUAUUUAAAAAUUUUAAAAGUAGGGGGAUGUGGAUAUCUUAGAGAAUUUUUAAUUGUAAAAUUGAAUUGAAAGAUAUCUAUUACAGAUCCUAAUUGAAGUAGCGAUUAUCCAGGUUAAUCUCCUGGGGGCUGAUGAGGAGUAGGGUUUCUGGGCAACUUAAACGGACCCAGAGUUAGUCGAUCCUAAUCAAAUUAAAUUUAGAGAAAGGGAAUAUGAAUGAUAUUUCAUAACUAAAAUUAAUUUUUAAAUGGUGACAUUUUUUUAAACUUAUUUCCAUCAAUUAAAUACUGUUUAAUAGGGAUUUCUUUCCUAUAUAACUUUUUAAUUAAAACUUAAGAAACAGGUUAACUGGAGAAUAAAGUUUUAAUUUAGUAAAAUUAUAAUUUCGAUUAUAAUAACGGCUAUUUAAAUGAUCCAUGAAACAAUAAGUUUAUUUUUUCAAAAAUUAAUUUAAUCGUACCGAUAACCGCAUCAGGUCUCCAAGGUGAGUAGCUUCUGGCCAUUGAGUAAUGGUAAUUUAGGGAAUUCGGCCAAUUAGAGCUGUAACUUCGGGAUAAAGCUUGGCUCUGAUGGAAAUCAGAACCGAUAGUUACAAGGAGAGCCCAACUGUUUAAUAAAAACUUAGUGUCGCGUCAUACCUUUAUAAGUAAUAAACGUGACAUGAAUCCUGCUCAGUGCUGUGUUUGUUAAACUGGAUUAAUCCAUUUAAGCGCCGGUAAAUAGCUGGGGUAACUAUGACUCUUAUCAAAGUAGCGAAAUACCUCGUCACUUAAUUAGUGACCUGCAUGAACGGAGCUAUGAGGUUCUCACUGUCCCAAAUUAUCACUCAGCGAACCAACAGUUGUGGGAACGGGCACAAAUUAUCCAGCGGGGAAAGAAGACCCUGUAGAGCUUCACUUUGGUCUAAUCUUGUAUAGUUUCGUUAGGGGUGCAGUCUAGGUGGGAGAUUUUUAAUCAAAUAUGAGAAACCACUACCCUUUCUGGAAUUAUACUUACUAAAAUUCUUUUCUAAAUUUUAGGAUCGGAUUAGAUAGAAAGUUUGGCUGGGGCGGCACACCUUCGAAAAAGCAGCGAAGGUGUCCUAAGUUAAGCUCAGUAAGGACAGAAAUCUUACGUUGAGGAUAAGGCCAAAAGCUUAAUUUACUGUGCCUUUUUGUACUAGGAUCAGUUUGGAAACAAAGGCCUAACGAUCCCUAAUUAGUCUUAGGUGUGUAAGACUUGGGGUGACAGACAAGUUACCUCCGGGACAACUGGCUUGUGGCUGCUAAGAGAUCAAAUCAACGCAGCUUUUUGAUUCUUCGAUGUCGGCUCUUCCUAUCCCAG